CAUGUAGGCGGUCUGUCAAGUCUGAUGUGAAAGCCCGGGGCUCAACCCCGGAAGUGCAUUGGAAACUGGCAGACUUGAGUACGGGAGAGGAAAGUGGAAUUUCGAGUGUAGGGGUGAAAUCCGUAGAUAUUCGAAGGAACACCAGUGGCGAAGGCGGCUUCCUGGACCGAUACUGACGCUGAGACGCGAAAGCGUGGGGAGCAAACAGGAUUAGAUACCCUGGUAGUCC
rnacentral:rRNA from 1 species